rnacentral:snRNA from 1 species
AUGAUCGCUUCCGCAGCAUAUAUACUAACAUUGGAACCAUACAGAGAAGAUGAGCAUGGCCCCUGCACGAGGAGGACAUGCAAAUUCGUGAAGCGUUCCAUAUUUUU